rnacentral:lncRNA from 12 species
CUGGGCCAGGGGAACACCCAGGUCCCUGCCCUGGCUGGGGGAAGUUGGGCUCAGUCUCUUGCAGCUGUGGCACCCGUGGCAUCACUCUGCACCCCGUGCAGUGCUCUGAGCAAGGCCUCAGAAAUGAGCCUGGGGAGUGAUUUGGGGCUCUGGAGGGAUUGUGACUCGUCCUCACUGCCCCUGCUUCUUGUUCUUCUUGUUUUCGUCUUGUUCUUCUUGUUGCUGUGAAUGUUCUUCCCUUUCCUUGUCCUUGUCCUUCUUUAUCUUCUUCUUCUUCAUCUUCUGCUUCAUCUUCUUAUUUUGCAGUUCCUUAUGCUUGAUUAUCUGCUUUUUCUUAUUAUGCUUUUUGUCUGAUGCUUUUUCUUACAACUAACUUAAGCUUUUACUUAUUCCUUCCUUUCUUUCUAUUCUUAUUCUGAUUUCUUCUUCUUUCUGUUCUUGCAAUUAUUCUUAGUCCAAUACUUAUUGUUAUUGACAUUCCUUAUUCUCAUUCCUUAUUCUCAUUCCUUAUUCGUAUUCCCUAUUCUCAUUCUCAUUCCUUUUCUUCUUUUUUUUGUUUACUCUUAUUUCAUUCCAUUUCAUUUUCCUAUGCUUUCUUCUAAGCUUGUAAUUUUUCUUAUGCUUUUUGUCGUACACUUUUUUCAUUCCAUUUCAUUUUCCUAUGCUUUCUUCUAAGCUUGUAAUUUUUCUUAUGCUUUUUGUCGUACACUUUUUCUUACUCUUUUGCUUAAGCUUUUUCCUAUUCCUUUCCCUGUGGUGGCCUACAGCUGGCCUGAAGUUAUAAAUAAAUCCCAUUUUUAAAACUGAAACGAGAUUGAUUAUGAAAAUAACCUGAAUUAUGUAAGUGGAACUCAUAAGGCCUGUGGGAGAGCAGGCCCAG